rnacentral:rRNA from 1 species
UACAGAGACUGCAAGCGUUAUUCGGAUUCACUGGGCGUAAAGGGUGCGCAGGCGGCCGAGUGUGUGAGGCGUGAAAGCCCGGGGCUUAACCCCGGAAUUGCACCUCAAACUACACGGCUAGAGCAUUGGAGAGGGUAGCAGAAUUCAUGGUGUAGCAGUGAAAUGCGUAGAUAUCAUGAGGAAUACCAGAGGCGAAGGCGGCUACCUGGACAAUUGCUGACGCUCAGGCACGAAAGCCAGGGGAGCAAACGGG